GCACCUUAUCCAAGAAAGACCGUUGCCUCUCGUUUAAGAUUUUUAACCCAUCAUCAUAUCAUCUUAUCAUCCUCCAUUCAUCUUCCUCUUACUGUUUGUGUAAGCAUGGCUUCCACCACACUGCCCUCUAUAGCCCCUUCGCAGCUAUGUUCUAGGAGGAGUGGGGUACUGUGCCCCUCAUCGUCAUGUUCAAGGAAAGAGGUGAAGAUUGGGAAGGGAAAAGGGAUGAGAGUGGUAUGCAUGGCGACGAGUAUUCCAGCUGACAGAGUACCUGACAUGGGGAAGAGACAGCUCAUGAAUCUUCUCCUCCUUGGAGCUGUUGCACUCCCCUCUACUGGAAUGCUCAUUCCUUAUACCUAUUUCUUCGUCCCUCCUGGUUCAGGAUCUGCUACUGGUGGUACUGUUGCAAAGGAUGCACUUGGAAAUGAUGUGCUUGCAGAGCAAUGGCUCAAGGCGCAUGGACCUGGUGACCGUACACUUACACAAGGAUUGAAGGGAGAUCCAACGUACCUUGUGGUGGAGAAAGACAGAACACUGGCAACAUAUGGGAUUAAUGCGGUGUGCACUCACCUUGGUUGUGUGGUGCCGUGGAAUGCAGCGGAGAACAAGUUCAUCUGCCCUUGCCAUGGAUCUCAGUAUAAUGACCAAGGAAGAGUUGUCAGAGGACCUGCUCCUUUGUCUCUGGCAUUGGCGCAUUGUGAUGUGGAUGAUGGGAAGGUGGUGUUUGUUCCAUGGGUUGAGACUGAUUUCAGAACCGGUGACGCUCCCUGGUGGGCUUAGACUACUCUCCUUUCAUUCUCACACCUGCCACAUACACAUAUCAUAUGUAAUCUAUAAUUCAAACUCUAUCUCUUCUUCUAUUCAUAUAUAAACAUGCUAGUAUAUAUAACAUAAGAAGGAACCUCAUAAUUCUUCUCUUGCAUGUCUUCUUCACUUCUCCUGGAUGCCAUUUCCGUCUCUGAAUUUCUCCCAAUUUAUAUAUUAAACUUUGU